UGAAAGACCCUCUUGUUCUGGGAGGCAGUCAGUCCGGAGGGAGCCUCCUCGGAAGGUGGCUGUACCUCUAUUCAGAAGGAGGCUGCCGGUACCUUAGUGCCCUCUGGAACGCUGAGCGGCUUGGCCCCGGAGGGGCUGGUUCCCAAAAGAGAGCAGGAGCUCUUUCUGCCAGACCAGCUGUACUUCAUUAAUGAGUCAAGCCAGAGGUCUAACCAAUCCGUUGCUACUGGGACUUUCGUUUUUCUCCCCUGGUUUAUUUUAUUGCUAUUCUGAGAGGUAAACAUACACAUACACCUCAACAACUCC
rnacentral:lncRNA from 1 species